UUGUCAUUUAAAUGAAUUUAACACUGCCUUUUUUUUUUUUUUCUUUCUCCUAGCCACAACAAGUGAUUCAAAAGAAGCCUGCUCAGGAAGAGACUGAAGAGACCUCCUCACAAGAAUCUGCAGAGGAUGAUUAGGAGACCACACGAUUCCAUUUCUACCUCAUCAGCAGUUGGGUCUUUCGAAGGGAGAAGACACUGCCGCGACCACUUUGUUUUCUUUUGCCAUGGUCUUUUCCACUUUUGCCUGGGGGGAAAAAAAUCACAUAACCUUAAAAAGGACUUUAUUAAUCACCUUCUUUGUAAUCCCUUCACAGUCCCAGGUUUAGUGAAAAACUGCUGUAACACAGGGGGACACAGAUUAACGAUGCAACUUUUAAUUACUGUUUUCUAUUUUCUUAACCUACUAAUAGUUUGUUGAGCUGCUAAGAAAGGGUGAAUGGGUCAGAAAAAUCUUUGAAUCAGGUUUAGUCAUUCACUGCACUGCGUGUAAACAAGAAACUUGUAAUAUUAAUUAUAAUGGGCAUUCAUACAGGAAAGGCUUGGUGUGAAACACGUUUUAGGCCUCAGACACCACCAACAACCCACUCUCUAUCUUAGUCAACUCCCUGUUUAGAACACCAAAGAUAAGGGAUAGAUGCUACUCUUUUUUUUUUAAUUAUCUUGUAGACUUUUACUUGAUUUUUUCACUUACUGUUAUUUCAAGAAAGAUUUAAGGCUGAUUUGUCAUUUCUCUCAACUCAUAAACCAGAAGAGGUUGUACUCAUUUUGCAGAAGGGAAGUAAGGCAAAUCUGUGUUGCCAAAAUGCAUAUUUAUGGAUAUACUGAGCAUAUUGACAGGAGCAAUGAACACCACUCAGUAGUACUCAUCUUCAGGAAAACACUCAUUUGGGUAGAACUGACUUUCUCCAUAGGUAAACUCCAUUUAGAAAUCAGUAACAAUUAUCCUGAAAGCAUCUGUAGAUGGUUAUCAAGUAAAAUGACCAUCUUUUUAAAAAAAAUUUUUUUUUAAAAUAAAGGUACUUCUGGAUUAAUGACAUCAAUUAAUGUGAAGCAUAGGAAAGGGGAUAAAUUAAAAAUUUGUGGGAGUGAUGCCACAGUCACCCUACUAGUGAUGAAAAAUUGAAAGGAUUCAUACCUUUUUUCAUUAUGUAUCGAUUUAAAUGUAAAAACAAAAAAAGAAUACUAUGUACCUCAAAGUGGGGUUUUGUAUUAAUUCCAAUGAUGCCUUUUGACAUAGGAUGGUUGACUGGUAUUUUACCUCAAUUUCAGUGCUCCCAUCUUUUCAUUCAAACUGCACUUUUAGCAACAGAUGCAAUAUAUUCCCCACUACUCAAUGCUACCUCUGAUUUUUACAAUUACUUUUACAGCCUGAUAAAUACUUGCUGCUAUACACAUAAAAUGCAGGAAAAAAAAAAUCCUUUGGGUAAAUGAUUUUGGAUCUCUUCAUUUUCUCUUCAUUUCUCCCUCACCACUUAAUUACAGUUAAAGAAGCAAUGUCUUUAGUGUUUCAGCAUGACAUGUAUUUUUCUUUUCAUUUUUCCCCAAUUUUAAAUGUACUUAUUUCUAUUCUCUGCUAGAUUUCUAUGUAAUGUACUGUUAACUUGAAUAUAUUUUUGUACUGAAUUGCUCCUAGGUUUUGUAAGGAUAAUUUUCUUCAAUGACACUACAUGACAAAAACACAAAACAAAACAAAAUUUUAACUGUACUGUUUGAACAUUACUGUCCAAGUUUGUACCUCAAAUGAAUUGUUUAAAGAAAUGGACUAAUGGAUUGACAAAGACCUACCUCCAGACAUUAAAUGGAAUGAAUAUGUUAACUUUCAGCAUUAGUUUUGCCAUGUUUGAAACAGUUAAGACUGCAACUAAUCCCUAAUCAAAAUUAUUUUUGUAAAAGAAUUUUGAUAGAAAAGAACACAUUUUAAAUUACUUUUUCACUAAAAAAAAAAAAAAACCUUCAAAGAAACUUGAAGCUUUGUAGGUAGGAAGCAGUGAGCUUGGCUUUUGCAUAAUGCAAUCAUAAAAACAUGUUUUAAAAUUAGUAGAUUGUAAGAAAAUGCUUGACAAGUAUUUUCAUAUAUUUUACACAAAUGUGAUUUUUUUAAAAAUAUGUUUCAACCAGAUUAUUUUAAAUGCUUCCUAUGUAGAGUUUUUAAUGCCUCUUUCUCUUAGUCAGUAUGUCUAUUUUUUUUAACAUUGUAUUAUGAACUGGGCCAGGAGGUAGUUUUUCAUGAAGGCGUAUGUCAGUAUGGCUUUUUUAGUGUUCAAGCCAAACUAAAAAAGAAAAAAACCACUCCUUUCUAGCUUCUUCAUUGAGCUUAUUUGAAGGCUCACAUGCUUUUUGAAGCUGGCAAAGAACUCAUUGUUAUAAAACAUGCCCUCCCCCAAAAAAAGCCAAUGGGAGAAUUAAACCUAGGCAUGUUAAUGUUAACUGAGCAUUAGACAAAUGGAAAUAACUAGUGGCUCUUUUAGAAGAAAUUAAAAAGGCAUUUUCCAUAGAAGCCUUCAGUAUAAUACAUUUUUAGAAACCUCAGUGGUCAAUGCAUGUUGGUCAGACUCUGAGCACCGAGGUAUUUACAGCUCUGAUGAAGUUUGUCUUUUAUUUUCUAUAUAUUGUACAAUCAAAACACAUUACUACCUCUUAGGGCCUACUAUACCUCAUUUUUUCAGACUGAAAAAAAAUGCUUGUGGCCAUUGGAACAGUGAGAACAUCAUAAAAUUUUUUAUAUAUAUAGUUUAUUUUUGUGGGAGAUAAAUUUUAUAGGACUGUUCUUCAUUGUCAUUGGUCACUGCUAGGUAAGACUGGACAUUUAGCUUUUCGACCAUUUCUGCAACAUAGGUAUGUUUGCAGGAGAAAAGUAUCAAGACGUUUAACUGCAGUUUACUUUUUCUCUAUUUCUUGAGUGUCUUCUAACUUUUUUUUGCUUUGUUCUUCAUAUAGAGUUGCUGUCUAUGAUUGUACCUUGAACUGCUUGCUUGUUGAAAAUGUUCCUUUAAUGGAUUAUCACAUUCUGUUCAGCACAAUAAACAUCAUAGCCUCUGUGAUUCCCCAGGCUGUUUGGUUCCGACGUUUUGUCAAAGCUCCAUUAAAUGGGUAAUAAAGUUGAACCAGGCUAAAGAGACAAGUGGUAACAUUCAAGUCAUUUGGCACUCUGGAAUUGGGAGAGUCCACCAUUGUAGUCUGGUAGCCCAUGGUGCAGAGGGAACAGCUCCUGCUUUGGGGGAAUUGGGUGAGGAAAUAAGAAUGCUCAGGGAGGUGGACACCAGGAAAUGGGAUGCUGGCUUUAGAUGGGGUGAUUGAGAGGCUUGAGCCAGCAGAGUCCUGCAAAUCUUGAGGUAAUGUAGCUUCUAAAUACCCAUGAGGAGAAAAUGUAACCCACUGGGUAUGUCCUUCCUGAGCCAAAGCCUUGUCACCUUAGCCACAAUAUUCUAUAUUUUCCUCCCUCCUCACCCCUCCCACCCCAUCCACCUCACUUUCCACUUUGACUUGUGGAACAAUCACAUUUACACAACUAUUCCUUUUUAUAAGCAAAUUUCUAUAUUAAUCAUGUUGCAAAAGAAAAGUAAAAACAAAAGGGAAAAACCAUGAGAAAAAAUAAAAAGGGAAAAUAAUAUGCUUCAAUCUA